AUGUGGGGAGGAAUUCUGAGUCUUAUGGAAGUUACCAGAAGAUUAAAAAUUGAAAUCCCAUGUCAACCCACUUGUUGAUGACAUGUCACAAGCUUGUAUAAGCCUUCUCAGCCACCAGGGCACCAGGCUGUUGGACUCAUUCCCCUGGAGUAAGAGUGAUAAGCACAUUCCACUAAGAACAGAUGUAGCUGUGAGAGGCCAGAAGCCAGUUUACUAGAAGACACAGAGGGAGUGGAGAGGCUUGUGCAAGCUUUUUGAUUGUGGCUCGGAGUUUUUGUGAAAGGCCAAAGAAGUGAGACUUUCUGGGGACGUUCCAGUGAAACUCUGACUCAAGCUGUAUCCCUUUGGCCAGGAAGCCGUUAAGGCUGGUUACUCAGAAAAACUUUACUGAGGUAUAAUUUUCAUACCAUGAAAUUCACCAACUCUGUGGGGAUCAUGACCCAUUACAGCUUUCCUCUACCCGGAUCUGAGAGUGUACAAAGAGCACAGCCCCACUGCCAACCAUCAAUGAACAUGCAGCAUAAGCAAGAAAUAAACUUUUGGGGACACAGGUUCGAGCCCUGGUCCAGGAAGAUCCCACAUGCCUUGGAGCAACUAAGCCCGUGCGCCACAACUACUGAGCCUGCACUCUAGAGCCCGCGAGACACAAGUACUGAGCCCAUGUGCCACAACUACUGAAGCCUGCACGCCUAGAGCCCGUGCUCCGCAACAAGAGAAGCCACCGCAAUGAGAAGCCCACGCACCACAAUGAAGAGUAGCCCCUGCUCGCAGCAACUAGAGAAAGCCCGCAUGCACCAACGAAGACCCAACACAGCC